UGAUGUAGACAUCUCAGGAGUCCAAUCAAAGAUCAAGAAGUUCAACUAGUUCAAGGAGCACCGUGUGAAACUGAUUCUAAUAUGGUUCAUCCUCCGUUAUCAAUACUAACCUUAUACGAUAAUGAAUUUCAAAAUUGUUUUCUAGAUGAAACUGCGGAAUCCAUAUUUGAGAGGCUUAAUCGCCUUUUUGAAAAAUUAGAUAACCCAGAUAGACCCAGUCCUAUAUAUAUGAAUAAUGCUACGUAAGUUUACAUCAGAAUUUUUGUCAAUUGGACUUCAAUUUGAACAAUUUUCAAUAUAAAAAACAUUUGGAAUAUGUUUGUUAUUUUUCUUUAUUCGACACGACUCCAUCGUACUUUAUCGACAACCAGUUGUUGGGCCAUUACAAUAUCAAAAACAUUGCUCUAAACGAUAUUGAACAUACAAAUCAGAAUCUUCUAAUGAAUUGGUAAAUUUGUCAGAUACAAUAAACCUAAGAAUAUCUGAAAAUAGAUUUUGAUGAUUUGCCUCACUAAACUACUACAGUUUGUUAUAAUAUAUUACUUAUCUUUAAAUUAUAUAUUAGACAAAUUUUAAUAAAAUCUGUACAAACAACACACUAAAUGCUAUAGAAGUAAUAGUCAGAAGAACAGGUAAAUACAUUAAACCGUCAUAUACGUUUUUAACAAAUUUAAGAAACUUCCCUUAUCACAUGGGAAAAACUAUAUUCAACAAUUUAAGUAACGAUGCGAAGAGUCUAAUAACAAGUUUAUGUUAAAACCAAUGAUACAGUCAAUAAAAAUCAAAUAAAAAAAGGCUAUAAAUAAGAUAGUUAAUGAACUAGAUGAGAAUGUGUAUAAAUGAGAUUUUAAAAAGUGAAUAUGUAUAAUAAUUCUAAUAUCUUAUCAGAAUGCGUAUAUGUUAAAUGUGUUACUAAAAUAUGUUCCACUAAAUUUUUUACUACUUUAUAAUAUUAAUUAAUUAAGUCAUAUCUUUAAUUGUAUAAGUAUCUUUUUUAAAUUUUUUUUUACUAUUAUAAGAAUUUUAAUUUAUAAAAACUCCGUAUACCAGAUACAAGCUUAGCUCAGUUGGUAUAUGUAUCAGCUAUUGUUAAUGUAUUCUUAAUGUAAUAAUUUACUUAUUGUAUCAUAUAAUUGUAAUUAAUUUUGGCUGAAAUAAAUAAAAUAUUUUGGUCGG